ACGGAGGGUGCGAGCGUUGUCCGGAAUCACUGGGCGUAAAGGGCGCGUAGGUGGCUCGUUAAGUGGCUGGUGAAAUCCCGGGGCUCAACUCCGGGGCUGCCGGUCAGACUGGCGGGCUCGAGCACGGUAGAGGCAGAUGGAAUUCCCGGUGUAGCGGUGGAAUGCGUAGAUAUCGGGAGGAACACCAGAGGCGAAGGCGGCUACCUGGACCAGCACUGA
rnacentral:rRNA from 1 species